UUUUACCUUCCAUCCUCCUGAAUCCAAACAAAACCUAAAACCUAGUUGUGAUUCAUUUUAUUUGCCGGGACGGGACCAUUUAUCAUGCACACUUAAUAAGGGAUGGCUGAAUCUGUUGUUGUUGGUGAGAUUAUAAUUGUGAAUAAAAUUUGUGUUGGUGAAUACGAGAGAGGGAGAAGCUUACUAUACGAUCCAAUAUCCAUUACCUACCACAAUAAAUACCCAUCCAACCUUUUCCAUUAAGCUCCCCUGUGAAACCCUUGUGUUAGUAUAUAAUGUAAUGUGUAGAUAUACAGAUAUAAACCACAUAUACAAGUACAUAUAAGAAAGCUGCUAUCAAACAAGACCAAAGAGAGAAAAGGAAAGAAAAUGAAGGCUCCUUCACAACAAGAGAUGUCAUAUUAUGAUCAUGUCAAGAGACGCCAUCAGGAUAAAGGCUGCCUCUAUGCCUUUUUGUUUACACUGUGCUGCUGCUUUUGCUGCUAUGAGGCGUGUGAGUGUUGCGUGGAGGUUACCUGCUGCUGCUGUGCCUAGAUCUACUGCCAUCUUUAUGUUUUGUCAUUAUAAUUUGGAAUUUAAUAAAUUUUAAUCCAUUUUCACAA